AGCAGUAGCCGCGGUAAUACGAAGGGGGCUAGCGUUGUUCGGAAUUACUGGGCGUAAAGCGCACGUAGGCGGACAUUUAAGUCAGGGGUGAAAUCCCGGGGCUCAACCCCGGAACUGCCUUUGAUACUGGGUGUCUAGAGUAUGGUAGAGGUGAGUGGAAUUCCGAGUGUAGAGGUGAAAUUCGUAGAUAUUCGGAGGAACACCAGUGGCGAAGGCGGCUCACUGGUCCAUUACUGACGCUGAGGUGCGAAAGCGUGGGGAGCAAACAGGAUUAGAUACCCCGGUAGUCCCUGUCUCUUAUAC
rnacentral:rRNA from 1 species